UACGAAGGGGGCUAGCGUUGCUCGGAAUUACUGGGCGUAAAGCGCGUGUAGGCGGCCAUGCAAGUCGGAUGUGAAAGCCCUCGGCUCAACCGGGGAAGUGCACCCGAAACUGCAAGGCUAGAGUCUCGGAGAGGAUCGUGGAAUUCUCGGUGUAGAGGUGAAAUUCGUAGAUAUCGAGAGGAACACCGGUGGCGAAGGCGGCGAUCUGGACGGUGACUGACGCUGAGACGCGAAAGCGUGGGGAGCAAACAGG
rnacentral:rRNA from 1 species